rnacentral:rRNA from 1 species
AGCCGCAAGGCAUGUAUGAAGGUGCUGCAUGGUUGUCGUCAGCUCGUGCCGUGAGGUGUCGGCUUAAGUGCCAUAACGAGCGCAACCCUUUCUGCCAGUUACUAACAGGCAAUGCUGAGGACUCUGGCGGUACUGCCAUCGUAAGAUGUGAGGAAGGUGGGGAUGACGUCAAAUCAGCACGGCCCUUACGUCCGGGGCUACACACGUGUUACAAUGGGG